UGGGGAAUAUUGCACAAUGGGCGCAAGCCUGAUGCAGCCAUGCCGCGUGUAUGAAGAAGGCCUUCGGGUUGUAAAGUACUUUCAGUCGGGAGGAAGGUGUCAAGGUUAAUAACCUUGGCAAUUGACGUUACCGACAGAAGAAGCACCGGCUAACUCCGUGCCAGCAGCCGCGGUAAUACGGAGGGUGCAAGCGUUAAUCGGAAUUACUGGGCGUAAAGCGCACGCAGGCGGUUGAUUGAGUCAGAUGUGAAAUCCCCGGGCUUAACCCGGGAAUUGCAUCUGAUACUGGUCAGCUAGAGUCUUGUAGAGGGGGGUAGAAUUCCAUGUGUAGCGGUGAAAUGCGUAGAGAUGUGGAGGAAUACCGGUGGCGAAGGCGGCCCCCUGGACAAAGACUGACGCUCAGGUGCGAAGGCGUGGGGAGCAAACAGG
rnacentral:rRNA from 1 species